UUAAAUUGAAGAGUUUGAUCAUGGCUCAGAUUGAACGCUGGCGGCAGGCCUAACACAUGCAAGUCGAACGGUAACAGAAAGAAGCUUGCUUCUUUGCUGACGAGUGGCGGACGGGUGAGUAAUGUCUGGGAAACUGCCUGAUGGAGGGGGAUAACUACUGGAAACGGUAGCUAAUACCGCAUAAUGUCGCAAGACCAAAGAGGGGAACCUUCGGGCCUCUUGCCAUCGGAUGUGCCCAGAUGGGAUUAGCUUGUUGGUGGGGUAACGGCUCACCAAGGCGACGAUCCCUAGCUGGUCUGAGAGGAUGACCAGCCACACUGGAACUGAGACACGGUCCAGACUCCUACGGGAGGCAGCAGUGGGGAAUAUUGCACAAUGGGCGCAAGCCUGAUGCAGCCAUGCCGCGUGUAUGAAGAAGGCCUUCGGGUUGUAAAGUACUUUCAGCGGGGAGGAAGGGAGUAAAGUUAAUACCUUUGCUCAUUGACGUUACCCGCAGAAGAAGCACCGGCUAACUCCGUGCCAGCAGCCGCGGUAAUACGGAGGGUGCAAGCGUUAAUCGGAAUUACUGGGCGUAAAGCGCACGCAGGCGGUUUGUUAAGUCAGAUGUGAAAUCCCCGGGCUCAACCUGGGAACUGCAUCUGAUACUGGCAAGCUUGAGUCUCGUAGAGGGGGGUAGAAUUCCAGGUGUA
rnacentral:rRNA from 1 species